AUGUUCAUCGGCAGCCAACCGGCUAGGUCAAAACAGAGAAACUGCGUCAUUGGGUUCAUCGGGAGGCAACUGACUUGGAUGGAACAACUGAUCAAAACGAGGCCUGGCAUACCGCGGAAUGGAGGAAACGGCCUUGUGUUCGAUGGCCUAGGGUCGAAACGGGAUCCUGUUCAUUGGGAGGGGUCUGGCGUACCGCAAAGCGGAGGAAACAGACUUGUGUUCAGUGCCUACGGUCGAAACGGGGUCUUGUUGAUCGGGAGGGGUGUGGCGUACCGCAAAACAGAGGAAACGGACUUGUGUUGGAGCGCUACGGUCGAAACGGGGGUCCUGUUCAUCGGGAGGGGUGUGGCGUACCGCAAAACAGGACUCCAUGGGUUACUGUUCAUCUCCACCAUCGACCUUCUCUAG
rnacentral:rRNA from 1 species